UAGAUGCGAGAGUAGAGCAUAUCAAUAAGCGGAGGAAAAGAAACUAACAAGGAUUCCCUUAGUAACGGCGAGUGAAGCGGGAAGAGCUCAAAUUUGAAAUCUUCAAGGUUCUACCUUGACGAAUUGUAGUUUAUAGAAGUGUUUUCUGUUAGUGGAGUGGCAAAAGUUCUUUGGAAUAGGACAUCACAGAGGGUGAGAAUCCCGUAUUUGGUCAUUCCUCCUAGCGUUGUGAUACACUUUCAACGAGUCGGAUUGUUUGGGAAUGCAGUCCAAAGUGGGUGGUAAAUUUCAUCUAAAGCUAAAUAUUGGCGAGAGACCGAUAGCGAACAAGUACCGUGAGGGAAAGAUGAAAAGAACUUUGAAAAGAGAGUUAAACAGUACGUGAAAUUGUCAAAAGGGAAGCGUUUGACACCAGUGUUGUUUUUCCGAAAAUCAAUUACGAAUGUUUUGUUUUUGAGGAGUUAUGACUUCAUCGGCUUGCUUCUCUCUUUAUGAAACUUUCUCAAUGCACUUUUCGGUUAACAAGUCAACAUCAAUUUCCUUUGUUGUAAAAGGGUAUGAGGAAGGUGGCUUUCUUUUCGGAGAAAGUGUUUAUAGCCUUGUGCCUCUGCAAUCGGAGAGAUUGAGGUCUGCAGCGUAGAUCCUUCGGGGUUAGAUACAUUUGUGCUAAGUUAUAGCUUUUCAUAGACAACUUGUUGACUAUGUUUAGUCUUGUAGCUUACUCGCUUACUGCUAAUUUUACCUACGCUUAGGAUGUUGACGAGACUGUCGAUCUC
rnacentral:rRNA from 1 species